ACAUACUCUUUCCAGCUGCCUCCCAAGCCAGCCCUACAGUCUGAUGAACAUUCUAGAGUAUGUGGACACAGAUGGACGCUCUGGCCACAGCUUGUUGACCUGGGACUCGGCGAUGUCCGCCCUCUCCUCCGCCUCAUCCAGCUCGUGCUGCACCUUGCGGAACUUGGACAGCCUCCAGCUCAUUCUCCAGCUCCCGGACCCGGGCCUCCAGCUUCUGCAGCUGCUUCUUGCCGCCCUUGAGGGCGAUCUGCUCUGCCUCGUCCAGACGGUGCUGCAAGUCCUUGAUGGUCUGCUCCAUGUUCUUCUUCAUGCGCUCCAGGUCGUCAUUGGCACGGACAGCAUCAUCCAGCUGGAUUUGAGUGUCCUGAGGAUCAGAAAAAUGAGUGGCCUCAUUGCGGCUGCGUGUCUCCGCAUCCAGGGAGGUCUGCAGGGAGUCCACCAUCCGCAGGUGGUUGCGCUUGGCCUGCUCCAUCUCCUCAUCCUUCUCUGCCAGCUUCCUUUCAAUCUCUGCCUUGAUCUGGUUGAACUCUAGCUGGGCGCGGAGGAUCUUGCCCUCCUCGUGCUCCAGGGAGGCCUGGAAAGGAUAUAGAUUUUGCAGGCAUAUAGUCAGAGACCAGGGUGGAAGCAAGGGUGUGUCUAAAAACCAUGGCACAGAGAGCAUUUGGGGAUGGUAUACAUGACUCAGUAGGAGAUGCAGUGGAAGGAAAUGAGAAAGAGUGUGCACAAGAGAAAUGAAAGCAAGCUGAAGAGAAGGGGAUGCAGACUCCCAGGGGGGCGGAGGGAGUCAGCUUUGAAGACAAAGAGGAAAAUGAAAAGUGUUGCCAAGGAAACAGAGGCAAUGAAGCAGAGAGUAAAGGAACAAAAAAAAAAAAACCACCACACACAGGCAGGCAGAGGUGGAAAGUGGAAUGAGCUGAAAUAGGAGUCUUUCUAAGGUACAGUAAAUAAAAUGUUUGUGUGAAGGAA